rnacentral:rRNA from 1 species
UACGUAGGGGGCAAGCGUUGUCCGGAUUUACUGGGCGUAAAGAGCUCGUAGGUGGUUUGUCGCGUUGUUCGUGAAAACUCACAGCUCAACUGUGGGCGUGCGGGCGAUACGGGCAGACUGGAGUACUGCAGGGGAGACUGGAAUUCCUGGUGUAGCGGUGGAAUGCGCAGAUAUCAGGAGGAACACCGGUGGCGAAGGCGGGUCUCUGGGCAGUAACUGACGCUGAGGAGCGAAAGCGUGGGGAGCGAACAGG